rnacentral:sRNA from 1 species
AGUUGCUCAUUCAGCUUCUUAUGUUGGCCCACAUCGGUGGAAACAUGCCACAUAAACUAUCGAAUGAUGCCAGAGUAAGGUGCCUACCGUCCAACUCAGUGAUAUCGCUUUCGGGCCUUAUCAAACAUCGGGCGACACGUGGAGUGAGGCACCACCUA